AUGGCCGCGCCUGCUGAGCCCUGCGCGGGGCAGGGGGUCUGGAACCAGACAGAGCCUGAACCUGCCGCCACCAGCCUGCUGAGCCUGUGCUUCCUGAGAACAGCAGGGGUCUGGGUGCCCCCCAUGUACCUCUGGGUCCUUGGUCCCAUCUACCUCCUCUUCAUCCACCACCAUGGCCGGGGCUACCUCCAGAUGUCCCCACUCUUCAAAGCCAAGAUGAGAAACCAAAAUAUAUUAGAGAGACCCUAGAGACUUACUGGCCCAACAGAGAGUUGCUCCUUGAUUUCAUAGCAGGGAUUGAAAAAUGACUUGGAGAAAGGAUAGUUUUUUACCUGGUGCUUGGAUUCACCCUCAUAGUCCUGUGUACCUCCAGCGUGGCUGUCGCUCUUUGGAAAAUCCAACAGGGAACGCCUGAGGCCCCAGAAUUCCUCAUUCAUCCUACUGUGUGGCUCACCACGAUGAGCUUCGCAGUGUUCCUGAUUCACACCGAGAGGAAAAAGGGAGUCCAGUCAUCUGGAGUGCUGUUUGGUUACUGGCUUCUCUGCUUUGUCUUGCCAGCUACCAACGCUGCCCAGCAGGCCUCCGGAGUG
rnacentral:lncRNA from 1 species